rnacentral:rRNA from 1 species
AGAGCGAACGCUGGCGGCAGGCUUAACACAUGCAAGUCGAGCGCCCCGCAAGGGGAGCGGCAGACGGGUGAGUAACACGUGGGAACGUACCCUUUGGUUCGGAACAACCCAGGGAAACUUGGGCUAAUACCGGAUACGUCCGUAAGGAGAAAGAUUUAUCGCCAAGGGAUCGGCCCGCGUCUGAUUAGCUAGUUGGUGGGGUAAUGGCCCACAAGGCUACGAUCAGUAGCUGGUCUGAGAGGAUGAUCAGCCACAUUGGGACUGAGACACGGCCCAAACUCCUACGGGAGGCAGCAGUGGGGAAUAUUGGACAAUGGGGGCAACCCUGAUCCAGCCAUGCCGCGUGAGUGAUGAAGGCCUUAGGGUUGUAAAGCUCUUUUAGCUAGGGAAGAUAAUGACGGUACCUGCAGAAAAAGCCCCGGAUAACGUUCGUGCUAGCAGCCGC